ACUUGAUCAGGGCAGUAGGUUGUUACGUCUGGCCAGUAGGUUUGAUUUGGGGCUGUUGGAACUUGUCGUGGCAAUCUUGCUUUGGUUGAGGGCAUCAAGGAAGAGCCACUCACCUUGUUCCAGCAGCAAACACAUUCCUUGAUUAUGGAUUAAUCACGGCCGUGAAUUGAGGACUUUGACGCGAGACGAGUAUCUCGGAGUCAGCUUGGACCUUU